UACGUAGGGGGCAAGCGUUUGUCCGGAUUUAUUGGGCGUAAAGAGCGUGUAGGCGGCCAGGUAGGUCUGCUGUGAAAACUCGAGGCUUAACCUCGAGAUGUCGGCGGAAACCAUCUGGCUAGAGUCCGGAAGAGGAGAAUGGAAUUCCCGGUGUAGCGGUGAAAUGCGCAGAUAUCGGGAAGAACACCCGUGGCGAAGGCGGUUCUCUGGGCCUUACCUGACGCUGAGGAGCGAAAGCGUGGGGAGCGAACAGG
rnacentral:rRNA from 1 species